AGAGUUUGAUCCUGGCUCAGGAUGAACGCUAGCGGGAGGCUUAACACAUGCAAGUCGAGGGGCAACAGGAGUAGCAAUACUUGCUGGCGACCGGCGCACGGGUGAGUAACGCGUAUGCAACCUACCCAUAACAGGGGGAUAGCUUCCGGAAACGGAAAUUAAUACCCCAUAGGAUUCAAAGGCCGCAUGGUCAAUGGAUUAAAACUACGGUGGUUAUGGAUGGGCAUGCGUGCCAUUAGCUAGUUGGCGGGGUAACGGCCCACCAAGGCGACGAUGGCUAGGGGGUCUAAAAGGAUGAUCCCCCACACUGGUACUGAGACACGGACCAGACUCCUACGGGAGGCAGCAGUGAGGAAUAUUGGUCAAUGGGCGAGAGCCUGAACCAGCCAUCCCGCGUGCAGGAAGACGGCCCUAUGGGUUGUAAACUGCUUUUUUAUGGGAAGAAAAAGCUCUACGUGUAGGGCACUGACGGUACCAUAUGAAUAAGCAUCGGCUAACUCCGUGCCAGCAGCCGCGGUAAUACGGAGGAUGCGAGCGUUAUCCGGAUUUAUUAGGUUUAAAGGGUGUGUAGGCGGAUUAUUAAGUCAGUGGUGAAAUCUCAGAGCUUAACUCUGAAACUGCCAUUGAUACUGGUAAUCUUGAGUACAGUUGAAGUAGGCGGAAUGUGUAAUGUAGCGGUGAAAUGCUUAGAUAUUACACAGAACACCGAUUGCGAAGGCAGCUUACUAAGCUGUUACUGACGCUGAUGCACGAAAGCGUGGGGAGCGAACAGGAUUAGAUACCCUGGUAGUCCACGCCGUAAACGAUGAAUGUUAGUCGUCGGGGAGCUAGUCUCUUCGGUGAUGCAGCUAACGCAUUAAACAUUCCGCCUGGGGAGUACGGUCGCAAGAUUAAAACUCAAAGGAAUAGACGGGGACCCGCACAAGUGGUGGAGCAUGUGGUUUAAUUCGAAGAUACGCGAAGAACCUUACCUAGCCUUGACAUUGAUAGAAUCCCUCAGAGAUGAGAGAGUGCCCUUCGGGGAGCUUGAAAACAGGUGUUGCACGGCUGUCGUCAGCUCGUGUCGUGAGAUGUUGGGUUAAGUCCCGCAACGAGCGCAACCCUCGUCCUUAGUUACUAACGGUUCGGCCGAGGACUCUAAGGAGACUGCCUUCGUAAGGAGGAGGAAGGUGAGGACGACGUCAAGUCAUCAUGACCCUUACGGCUAGGGCGACACACGUGCUACAAUGGAUAGGACAAUGAGACGCAAUACCGCGAGGUGGAGCAAAUCUAUAAACCUAUUCUCAGUUCGGAUUGUAGUCUGCAACUCGACUACAUGAAGCUGGAAUCACUAGUAAUCGUAGAUCAGCCAUGCUACGGUGAAUACGUUCCCGGGUCUUGUACUCACCGCCCGUCACACCAUGGGAGUUGAUCUCACCCGAAGCGGGGAAGCUAAACUGGCUACCCUCCACGGUGGAAUCAGCGACUGGGGUGAAGUCGUAACAAGGUAACC
rnacentral:rRNA from 1 species